rnacentral:lncRNA from 1 species
AGAGCAGGAAGAGCAGAGGUUCUGGGAAACAACCCCAAGGAGAGAGACAGGGCAUUUGUGAGCUGUGCAGCCUCCCUGCUGGGACAUAGGGAACUCUAGCUGGAGAUGAGCAGGGCCUGAGUCUGAGGGUGGCCCUGCUGAAAGCACAGUAAUAGGAGUUAUAAUCAGCUAAGAGCAGGAAAUCUACUUUAUUUUUCUAAUGUUAUUCUUUGCUUUCUAGAUAAAACAGCAUGUAAGCAUCUCUGCAGUUGCUGUCCCCAGAGCCCACUUCCUGGAUAUUGCCAGCUGCCUGGACCAACCUUUCCGAAAGAUCAGCCAGGUCACAGUGAGGGUCAAAGGUGAGGCAACACCCGGCCUGCUUCAGCUUGCCCCCCGUGGGCUGCACCCACUGUCCAACCAGUCCCAAUGAGAUGAACCAGAACAUUGGCAAGCACGUUGAUAGAGUGCCCACAUUGUACUGAACUCUGAGGGGAAUAGUCUCGUCCCCAUCACUCAGGUGGGGAAACUGAGCAGGAGGCCACUGGAGGCUCCAAGGGCUCUGAAAUGUUGAGAACUUCCCUGCAGGUACCAGCGAAGAGGGCAAGAACACAGCACUACUUCCUUGGAUACUGUUUCCCUCCUCAGAGGGGUUUUCUGAGCUGCCCUGGGUCCUGUGAGGAAGAUCUCCCCUUCCUGUAAAGACACCAGUCCUACUGGAUCAGGGCCCACCCGUGUGACUUCACUUUUACUUGAGUACCUCUCACAGACCCUAACUCCAAAUCAGGUCACUUGCUGAGGUACUGCAUGUGAAGACUUUGACAUUUGAAUUUUGAGGGGGCCACCGUUUAACCUGAACCACCAAGGACAGAGCCAAAGACCCUGGGUGACAGGCCCAGAACAGGACCUGGUGGAGGCUCUUCUUUAGGGGAGAGAGGGAAAUGGGAGCCACCACUGGCAGAGCCUGAAGGCAGGGCAGCCAGAAAGAAGCUGUGGGAGUCCCCACCAUGGAAGACCCUGCCGAGCAUCCUGUGUCUCCUGAAGCAGACCCUGACAUGAGGACUGGGGGCACGUGUUUAUUAAGGGCGAUCCCCGGAAGGAGGAGAUAACCAGGCAGAAGUCCUAGCAGAGUAUGCCCACGCUGGUUAGUGCUGCUGCAAAGAUGAGCCGAAGACCAUGAGAGACCUCCAGGUGGUCCUUCUGGGGAGAAGAAAUGGGUUUUGGCCCCAAAUCCUUCUGCUGCAUUUUUCCCCUAUCCCUGGGAAGCCAUGAGACCUCAAACCUGUGUUCCCAAGGAGGCGAGCUGCUGUUCCCAGGUGAUGAUAUGAUGUGCUUGGGGAAAGUAAGUGGCUGCCAGACAUGGCUGAGAGCUGUUGUCACUGCCGUCAAGUGCAUGUCUCCAAGCCAUAUCACACGGCGUCCCUCGAUGUGAGGCCACAUGGCAAGUGGGCCGUGGAUCUCCCUCUGCCCUUUGCAAGCACGUAAGACAGCAGAUUUUGCAGAUACCUUGUGGCGCAGGGGAAUUUCCUUUGGCCAGGUCUGAAGAAAUAAAGCAGCAGGCACCGAGAACAAAGCCAAGGCUUUCAAAAGACAAGGAGCCAAAAAACUUACUCAAAAUAAAAGUAGUUUUAAAAUGU